GAUGAAGAACGUAGCGAAAUGCGAUAAGUAAUGUGAAUUGCAGAAUUCAGUGAAUCAUCGAAUCUUUGAACGCACAUUGCGCCCGCCAGUAUUCUGGCGGGCAUGUCUGUUCGAGCGUCAUUUCAACCCUCAGGCCCCCAGUGCCUGGUGUUGGGGAUCGGCCCAGCCUUCCUGUAAGGCCGCCGGCCCCGAAAUCUAGUGGCGGUCUCGCUGUAGUCCUCCUCUGCGUAGUAGCACAACCUCGCAGUUGGAACGCGGCGGUGGCCAUGCCGUUAAACACCCCACUUCUGAAAGUUGACCUCGGAUCAGGUAGGAAUACCCGCUGAACUUAAGCAUAUCAAUAAGCGGAGGA
rnacentral:misc_RNA from 1 species